UCUCAAAGCAAUCACAAGCUAUCCAUAUUGCUAGAAAAGCUUCUGCAUUUUUCAAAUAACACAAUUGUUCUUCGUGCGAGGGCUUAUCUCUCUGGUGGAUGGAUACGGUGGUGGUGGAAGAGUGAAACAGUGUUGAGAGCCAGUUGAAACUGCCAAGAUGGCAAAGACGAGGGGUACGGCAAGCCAAAUCUGAGAAAGCAGGGGAGUGAAGGGUUUUCUGGGCUACAUGUGUGCUUUCUUUGGUGACAAUGUUAUUUUUCGCCUAUCUUGGGAGACUUUGAUUGCUGGUUGCUCGAAUUGGUCCAUCUCCCUUCUUCUUCAAAUAGAUUUUUGUAUGGGCUUAGCUAAUGUUAGUAGAGUUUUCUUUCUGAUUAGUCUAUUGACAGUAGAGGCUACUGAUGUCGCAUAGAUGGUGAGCAAUGCUUCCUUGGGUUGUAUGUCGAGUCAAUAAUCGGUUUCAAAAGCCUUAGAGUUCCAUUGUAUCUUGGAUCUUUUA